GGUUAAGUGAAUAAGGGCGCACGGUGGAUGCCUUGGCACUAGGAGCCGAUGAAGGACGGGACUAAUACCGAUAUGCUUUGGGGAGCUGUAAGUAAGCUAUGAUCCAGAGAUUUCCGAAUGGGGGAACCCAAUAUCUUUUAUAGGAUAUUACUUUUCAGUGAAUACAUAGCUGAUUAGAGGUAGACGCAGAGAACUGAAACAUCUUAGUACCUGCAGGAAGAGAAAGAAAAUUCGAUUCCCUGAGUAGCGGCGAGCGAAACGGGAAGAGCCCAAACCAACAAGCUUGCUUGUUGGGGUUGUAGGACUCCAAUAUGGUAGUCUGUUAGUAUAGUUGAAGGAUUUGGAAAAUUCCGCUAAAGAGGGUGAAAGCCCCGUAGACGAAAUGCUGACAACACCUAGGAGGAUCCUGAGUACGGCGGAACACGAGAAAUUCCGUCGGAAUCCGCGGGGACCAUCCCGCAAGGCUAAAUACUCCCUAGUGACCGAUAGUGAACCAGUACCGUGAGGGAAAGGUGAAAAGCACCCCGGAAGGGGAGUGAAAUAGAUCCUGAAACCGUGUGCCUACAACAAGUCAAAGCUCGUUAAUGAGUGAUGGCGUGCCUUUUGUAGAAUGAACCGGCGAGUUACGAUUGCAUGCGAGGUUAAGUCGAAGAGACGGAGCCGCAGCGAAAGCGAGUCUGAAUAGGGCGAAUGAGUAUGUAGUCGUAGACCCGAAACCAUGUGAUCUACCCAUGUCCAGGUUGAAGGUGCGGUAAAACGCACUGGAGGACCGAACCCACGUACGUUGAAAAGUGCGGGGAUGAGGUGUGGGUAGCGGAGAAAUUCCAAACGAACUUGGAGAUAGCUGGUUCUCUCCGAAAUAGCUUUAGGGCUAGCCUCGGAAUUGAGAAUGAUGGAGGUAGAGCACUGUUUGGACUAGGGGCCCAUCUCGGGUUACCGAAUUCAGAUAAACUCCGAAUGCCAUUCAUUUAUAUCCGGGAGUCAGACUGCGAGUGAUAAGAUCCGUAGUCGAAAGGGAAACAGCCCAGACCACCAGCUAAGGUCCCAAAAUAUAUGUUAAGUGGAAAAGGAUGUGGGGUUGCACAGACAACUAGGAUGUUGGCUUAGAAGCAGCCACCAUUUAAAGAGUGCGUAAUAGCUCACUAGUCGAGUGACCCUGCGCCGAAAAUGUACCGGGGCUAAACAUAUUACCGAAGCUGUGGACUACACCAUUAGGUGUAGUGGUAGGAGAGCGUUCUAAGGGCGUUGAAGGUCGAUCGUGAGGACGGCUGGAGCGCUUAGAAGUGAGAAUGCCGGUAUGAGUAGCGAAAGACAGGUGAGAAUCCUGUCCACCGUAUGACUAAGGUUUCCUGGGGAAGGCUCGUCCGCCCAGGGUUAGUCGGGACCUAAGCCGAGGCCGAUAGGCGUAGGCGAUGGACAACAGGUUGAUAUUCCUGUACCAGUUGUUUUUGUUUGAACAAUGGAGGGACGCAGUAGGCUAAGGAAUGCAUGCGAUUGGAAGUGCAUGUCCAAGCAAUGAGUCUUGAGUAGAGUUAAAUGCUUUACUCUCUAAGGACAAGUUGUGACGGGGAGCGAAAUAAUAGUAGCGAAGUUCCUGAUGUCACACUGCCAAGAAAAGCUUCUAGUGAGAAAACAACUGCCCGUACCGUAAACCGACACAGGUAGUCGAGGAGAGUAUCCUAAGGUGAGCGAGCGAACUCUCGUUAAGGAACUCGGCAAAAUGACCCCGUAACUUCGGGAGAAGGGGUGCUGACUUCGGUCAGCCGCAGUGAAUAGGCCCAAGCGACUGUUUAUCAAAAACACAGGUCUCUGCAAAAUCGUAAGAUGAAGUAUAGGGGCUGACGCCUGCCCGGUGCUGGAAGGUUAAGAGGAUGGGUUAGCUUCGGCGAAGCUCAGAAUUGAAGCCCCAGUAAACGGCGGCCGUAACUAUAACGGUCCUAAGGUAGCGAAAUUCCUUGUCGGGUAAGUUCCGACCCGCACGAAAGGCGUAACGAUUUGG
rnacentral:rRNA from 1 species